UAGGGAAUCUUCCGCAAUGGGCGAAAGCCUGACGGAGCAACGCCGCGUGAGUGAUGAAGGUCUUCGGAUCGUAAAACUCUGUUAUUAGGGAAGAACAAAUGUGUAAGUAACUGUGCACGUCUUGACGGUACCUAAUCAGAAAGCCACGGCUAACUACGUGCCAGCAGCCGCGGUAAUACGUAGGUGGCAAGCGUUAUCCGGAAUUAUUGGGCGUAAAGCGCGCGUAGGCGGUUUCUUAAGUCUGAUGUGAAAGCCCACGGCUCAACCGUGGAGGGUCAUUGGAAACUGGGAAACUUGAGUGCAGAAGAGGAAAGUGGAAUUCCAUGUGUAGCGGUGAAAUGCGCAGAGAUAUGGAGGAACACCAGUGGCGAAGGCGACUUUCUGGUCUGUAACUGACGCUGAUGUGCGAAAGCGUGGGGAUCAAACAGGAUUAGAUACCCUGGUAGUCCACGCCGUAAACGAUGAGUGCUAAGUGUUAGGGGG
rnacentral:rRNA from 1 species